AAUAAAUCGUAUAUUCAAAGUGUGGUAAAAAAAAAAAAAAACUGUAGAACUUGGGUCAAAUUAAAUAACAGUGAAAAAAUGAAGGGCCUAUGUAAAUUGUUCGCCUGACUGUUACGCCAGGGGAGUUCUUAUUUCACGCCGACCUCAUUUACUUUCCAUAUAGACCUCAACAAAAAAACCUAGGGAUUACAAAUCAGGCAAAGGUUAACGUUCUCCGGAAUUUUAACGAAUGGUACGUUCUUCUUUACGUAGAUCUCUAAUUAGAUUUUGGAUUUUUAUUUUUACUUUUUUGGAUUUAUGAGAUCUGUUUUGUUUGGAAUUGGCUCUAGAUAUUUUUUAUGUUAUGAUCUAGGUUUUUUUUGGGGUAAAAAUGAUGCUGUACAUUUGAUUACUUUUACGGAGAUCUCUAAUUAGAUUUUGGAUUUUUUUUUGGAUUUAUGAGAUUUGUUCUGUUUGGAAUUGGCUUUAGAUAUUUUUUAUGUUAUGAUCUAGGUUUUUUUGGGUAAAAAUGAUGCUGUACAUUUACUUGCUCGCACGAGAAUGAUCUGUCUUGUUUUACGUUUUCCUGAUUUGUUUGAACUUUUUAUUUGUGAAUUAUGAUAUGCAUAUUUAUUUUUUUUCUAUUGGCGCGAUGCUAGAUCAAUGCUGGAUGCGUAACAUGCAUUUGAAUUUGAUAAGGGAAAAAAAUUAGUUAAUGAGAAAUACGCUGAAAUGUAGUAGUUAAGAAUUGUAAGUUUGUUCUAUGAGGAUUUGGAGAAAAAAAAUUAUUUUGUUUAUUGGAAUUAUGGAAAAAGCAGAUAAUAUGAUCAAAGGUUUUGAUGUUUCUACAGUUUUGGCAUGCCCAUGGCCCAUGGCAUUGAUAAGAAAAGGGACAAGAUUAAAAAUCUCUUCUCCUUAUCGGAUUGAACGAUUUUUUUUCAGAAAUUGGACAAAUGCAUUGGUUUUCCCUUGGUUUCUUUAUUCAAUUUUCAGUUCAAAUUUGACAGUCUUAAAAACUAUGAGAUAUGCACAAUUUAACGAGUUCUUUUGGUUUGUAUAUCUAUUUGAUGUGAUUUUUUCACUGAACAUAAUAAAGGAAGAAAGUUUUCUUUAUAAAAGCUGUUGAUUAUGAAGCAAAUACAUUCGCCUUGGUUUGGGACAUUUUCAAAAUUUAAUGUUAGCUGGGUGGGUGGACUAUUUCUACUACAAGAUUCAAAAAUUUGUUAUUAUGUUCAACAGCAUGGAAUUAAGGCCUUGAAGUCGGCAUUUGGAGAAAAUAUAUCUGAUUUUGAAAGAAGUCGAAGAUCUUGUAAUUCCAAUUUGGAUGCUCCUGUGCUACCUAGCAGUACCCAAUAGUUUACACUAGUUAUGCCUGAAACGAGUUUAUGCCCUGUUGUUGGAUUUGUUAUUUUACAUUUUGCAAUUAGAAAUCUGUAAGUUGACCAAGGCACAUAGUGAGUGUGAAUCUCAGACCAUCCUUAAGUUAUGCAAACAUUGUGAGAACACGUUAAACAGGGUAGUAGUUCUGUUGCCAUGAUCCCAUGGAUUAAUAGCAAGGACCCAAAAAAUUUGAGGAUGCCAGUGAAAUGCUAUUUUUAUAAUAGAUGUGUUUUUUGUCAUGUGAACUAUAACAAGUUUUUCUAUGGUUGCUUUUUGCUUUCUGUCUUAUUUUGUUUAUACCAUCUUAAAUUGUGUGAAUUUAAUGCCACUUUUGAUUGAUCACCUGAUUGACGAUGGAAAUAUGUGGCCUAGGAUGUUGAAGCCAAAGGGUUUAACCCGGGAUUGAUCGUCUUACUUCUAGUAGGCGGCCCGCUCUUGUUAUUCCUUGUUGGAAAUUAUGUACUCUACCUGUAUGCCCAGAAAACCGUUCCUCUGAAGAAGAAGAAGCCAAUCUCCAAGAAGAAAAUGAAGAAGGAAAGGCUGAAGCAAGGCGUUUCAGCACCAGGAGAAUAGAUUUUUGUUAGAAAGGGAUAGAAUGGGUUGUUUCCUUUCCAUGUUGAGCUGCAGUGUUGACAUUUCCGAUGUUGGAAACUUCAUAGAGAUUGUUACAAUGUUUUAGGACUCAUUCUCCCAUUAUGUUUCAUACAACUUAACUCGAUAAUUUAGAAAUCCUGUUGUUUUGCUAGCAGAUCGGAUGAAUGAAUGCUGUUUGUUUUGUUAUGUUAUCUGAUAUUGUGUCGAAGCUAUGUUGUUUGACUAGCAACUAUAUCGUUUUGUGGCUUUGGUAAGCUGAGUUGUCAUGUCUUGUUAUAGGUACUUUUUCGUUUUGAAGUUUUGGCUUACCGUGAUAGAAGUUGUUCAAAGAGUCAUCACCUGACCAGUUGGUUUAACAUUAAAUUUGCCGUUGGAAUGAAGUUCUGAGUUAGUAAUUGCUUGAUUGACAGCAGACUAGAGGUGUCAAUCAGGUCAAACUGGUUGCAGCAAGGUCUGAAAUUCUCUGCUUAUUUGCCCGAGUUUUUUGAUGGGUGGACCAACCCAGAGCCUGCUGCAUUUCUCCAUGACCCAUCUUGGGGACGGGCCUGUAUAUGUUAUUGUUUUACAUAUUAUAAAGGUCGAAUUUUGUUUCUUUAUUGCCCCGUGACCUGAACAGCAGACCAUAACUCCAAGCUUG
rnacentral:lncRNA from 1 species